UAGGGAAUCUUCGGCAAUGGGGGCAACCCUGACCGAGCAACGCCGCGUGAGUGAAGAAGGUUUUCGGAUCGUAAAGCUCUGUUGUAAGUCAAGAACGGGUGUGAGAGUGGAAAGUUCACACUGUGACGGUAGCUUACCAGAAAGGGACGGCUAACUACGUGCCAGCAGCCGCGGUAAUACGUAGGUCCCGAGCGUUGUCCGGAUUUAUUGGGCGUAAAGCGAGCGCAGGCGGUUUGAUAAGUCUGAAGUUAAAGGCUGUGGCUCAACCAUAGUUCGCUUUGGAAACUGUCAAACUUGAGUGCAGAAGGGGAGAGUGGAAUUCCAUGUGUAGCGGUGAAAUGCGUAGAUAUAUGGAGGAACACCGGUGGCGAAAGCGGCUCUCUGGUCUGUAACUGACGCUGAGGCUCGAAAGCGUGGGGAGCGAACAGGAUUAGAUACCCUGGUAGUCCACGCCGUAAACGAUGAGUGCUAGGUGUUGGAUCCUUUCCGGGAUUCGGUGCCGCAGCUAACGCAUUAAGCACUCCGCCUGGGGAGUACGACCGCAAGGUUGAAAC
rnacentral:rRNA from 1 species